rnacentral:rRNA from 1 species
AGCAGCAGCCGCGGUAAUACGGAGGGUGCAAGCGUUAAUCGGAAUUACUGGGCGUAAAGCGCACGCAGGCGGUCUGACAAGUCAGAUGUGAAAUCCCCGGGCUUAACCUGGGAACUGCAUUUGAAACUGUCAGGCUGGAGUCUUGUAGAGGGGGGUAGAAUUCCAGGUGUAGCGGUGAAAUGCGUAGAGAUCUGGAGGAAUACCGGUGGCGAAGGCGGCCCCCUGGACAAAGACUGACGCUCAGGUGCGAAAGCGUGGGGAGCAAACAGGAUUAGAUACCCCGGUAGUCCCUGUCUCUUAUAA